rnacentral:lncRNA from 1 species
CUUCCCACCAAAGCCUUUUCCUCCACCACUUCCAGUCUACAAGAAGCCACUCCCACCUCCAGUUCCAAUCUACAAGCCAGAGCCAAAACCACCAGUCUUCAAGCCUCCUCCGGUCCCAAUCUACAAGAAGCCACUCCCACCUCCAGUUCCAAUCUACAAGCCAGAGCCAAAACCACCAGUCUUCAAGCCUCCUCCGGUCCCAAUCUACAAGCCAAAACCACCAGUCUUCAAGCCUCCUCCGAUCCCAAUCUACAAGAAGCCACUCCCACCUCCAGUUCCAAUCUACAAGCCAGAGCCAAAACCACCAGUCUUCAAGCCUCCUCCGGUCCCAAUCUACAAGAAGCCACUCCCACCUCCAGUUCCAAUCUACAAGCCAGAGCCAAAACCACCAGUUUUCAAGCCUCCUCCGGUCCCAAUCUACAAGCCAAAACCACCAGUCUUCAAGCCUCCUCCGGUCCCAAUCUAUAAGAAGCCACUCCCACCUCCAGUUCCAAUCUACAAGCCAGAGCCAAAACCACCAGUUUUCAAGCCUCCUCCGGUCCCAAUCUACAAGCCAAAACCACCAGUCUUCAAACCCCCUCCUGUUCCAGUCUACAAACCAAAGCCAAAACCACCAAUCUACAAGCCUCUCCCACCUCCUGUUCCCAUCUCCAAGCCUCUCCCUCCAAUCCCAAAGAUCCCUCCAUUUUAUAAGAAGCCAUUGCCCC